rnacentral:rRNA from 1 species
UACGAGGGGGGCGAGCGUUGCUCGGAAUUAUUGGGCGUAAAGGGUGCGUAGGCGGUUUGGUAAGUCUUAUGUGAAAUCUACAGGCUCAACUUGUAGUCUGCAUGAGAAACUGCCGGGCUUGAGUAUGGGAGAGGUGAGUGGAAUUCCUGGUGUAGCGGUGAAAUGCGUAGAUAUCGGAAGGAACACCUGUGGCGAAAGCGGCUCACUGGACCAUAACUGACGCUGAGGCACGAAAGCUAGGGGAGCAAACAGG